rnacentral:lncRNA from 1 species
AUGGUGGAUGGGGAAGCGAAGAGUGGUGUUGUGUAUUUCACUUGCCUAGAUGAUGUUUUUGGGCACAUCUGCAAAUUUGCAACAGCAUUUAAACCUCCCAAACAGUUUGAGAUUGCUGGUGUUUGUGUAAUCCCCAGAUGUCCAGUUCCACCCAGUAAUUCGUUAUCCAGUCCAAAGGUAGUAGUAGAACGCAGGGCAAGUCAGUCGGGUUGUAGUUUACCUGUUCAGCCAACGGUUGGCUGCACAAGUAUUAAGCGUAAAACAUCAAGCAGUGUGUCUUCAUCAAAGAAGUUAAAAAACAGUGAUUUUGCUGCAGUUGAUUCAGAUGUGGUUUUUGUAGCUGAUGUUGUGAGUGAAGGGCUCCAGUUUAAUCCACUUUGUGGGGAAGUUGUAGACAUUCUGUGCAAACGGUUAAAUGUUGAGUCAGAGAAAGUAGAUUUAGUUUCUACAGAAGUUGGUCCGUUGGGUGCUCCUUGUCUGAAGGAGAAAAUAGUUGGGGAUGGUAACAGUUUCUUUAGAGCAGUUAGUCAGGCUGUCUGUGGUACACAGAAGUAUCACAGGAAAAUUAGACUUGCAUUAGUUAAGCAUUUGAAAGCUAAUGGUGGUAUUUUGAGAACUGAGUAUUCUUUAAUGGAGGAAUAUCUCAGUGUGUCAAAAAUGGCCUAUGUCGGUAGUUGGGCCACUGAAGUAGAGAUUCAAGCAGCAGCAGAUUUUUUGGGAGUAAGUAUAUUCACUUACUGUGACAAUCGCUGGCUUGAAUAUAGUUGGAAGUACAGACCGUUGUCAAAUCAGGGAAUUUAUUUAGAAAAUUGCAAUGGUAACCAUUAUGAGACUGUUGUUUGUGUUCAGCAGCCAAAUGUGAAGUUUUGCUAUGGGUAUUGCAAAGUGGGUGGGUCUAGGUACAAUUUCAGAGAACGUAGUGUUUGUGCAGACACUUUGACUUCAGUUGCUUCGUCAAGUUGUAAAGCUGAAGUAGAAAUUAUUGAACAAAAUGUAAUGGAACAGCAGUGUAGUACAUUAUCUGUAAAAGCCCAAUCCCCAAAUAAAUUGCACCUUAGCUCAAAUGUUAAGUCUCCGUCUAUGUAUAUGGCAAGGAAAUACAAGUUACAGAAAAAAUCAAAUAUCAGGAAAACAGGCAAAAAUUUCUAG